UGAGUAACGCGUGGGAACGUACCUUUUGGUUCGGAACAACUGAGGGAAACUUCAGCUAAUACCGGAUAAGCCCUUACGGGGAAAGAUUUAUCGCCGAAAGAUCGGCCCGCGUCUGAUUAGCUAGUUGGUGAGGUAAUGGCUCACCAAGGCGACGAUCAGUAGCUGGUCUGAGAGGAUGAUCAGCCACAUUGGGACUGAGACACGGCCCAAACUCCUACGGGAGGCAGCAGUGGGGAAUAUUGGACAAUGGGCGCAAGCCUGAUCCAGCCAUGCCGCGUGAGUGAUGAAGGCCCUAGGGUUGUAAAGCUCUUUUGUGCGGGAAGAUAAUGACGGUACCGCAAGAAUAAGCCCCGGCUAACUUCGUGCCAGCAGCCGCGGUAAUACGAAGGGGGCUAGCGUUGCUCGGAAUCACUGGGCGUAAAGGGUGCGUAGGCGGGUCUUUAAGUCAGGGGUGAAAUCCUGGAGCUCAACUCCAGAACUGCCUUUGAUACUGAAGAUCUUGAGUUCGGGAGAGGUGAGUGGAACU
rnacentral:rRNA from 1 species